GAACGCACAUGGCGGCCUCGGGUAACU
rnacentral:rRNA from 3 species